GGCGUUCAAUAGGAUCCCCUAGGCAGUCUACAGGAUCCCCUUUUGUCUGAACAUUAUAUAUUUACUAUAGAACAUUCUACAGGAACCCCUGUUGUUUGUUUAUCAUGUAUAUACUAAAGGGCGUUCUACAGGAUACCAUGGGCGGUCUACAGGAUCCCCUGUUGUCUUUACAUUUUAUAUCUACUAUAGGACGUUCUAUAGGAUCCCUAUAUUGUUUGUUUAUUAUUUAUAUACUAAAGGGCGUUCUAUUGGAUUCCCUUGGCGGUCUACAGGAUGCCCUGUUGAUUGUUUUUUUAUGUUUAUAUUAUAGGGCUUUCUACAGGAUCCACUGGGCGGUCUAUAGGAUCCCCAUUUGUUUAAAAAUAUAUAUCUACUAUAAUACGUUCUAAAGUAUCCCCCGUUGUUUGUUUUUCAUUUAUAUACUAAAGGGCCUUCUACGGGAUCCCCUGGGUGGUCUACAGGAUCCCCUGUUUUCUCAACAUAAUAAAUCUACUAUAAGACGUUCUAUAGGAUCCCCUAUUGUUUGUUAAUCAUGUAUAUACUAAAGGGCGUUCUAAAGGAUCCCUUGGGCGGUCUAAAGGAUACCCUGUUGUCUUUACAUUAUAUAUGUACUAAAUGGCGUUAUAUAUGACCCCCUGUUGAUUGUUUUUCAUGUUUAUACUAUAGGGCUUUCUAUAUAAUCCCUUGGGCGGUCUGCCGGAAACUUUGGAUGCUCUGCAGGAAUCUCUGUUU
rnacentral:lncRNA from 1 species